rnacentral:rRNA from 1 species
CGCGGCCUAUCAGCUUGUUGGUGAGGUAAUGGCUCACCAAGGCAACGACGGGUAGCCGGCCUGAGAGGGCGACCGGCCACACUGGGACUGAGACACGGCCCAGACUCCUACGGGAGGCAGCAGUGGGGAAUAUUGGGCAAUGGAGGAAACUCUGACCCAGCGACGCCGCGUGCGGGAUGAAGGCCUUCGGGUUGUAAACCGCAUUCAGUAGGGAAGAAGCGAAAGUGACGGUACCUACAAAAGAAGCACCGGCUAACUAUGUGCCAGCAGCCGCGGUAAUACAUAGGGUCCAGGCGUUGUCCGGAAUUAUUGGGCGUAAAGAGCUCGUAGGUCGUUUGUUACGUCGGAUGUGAAAACCUGAGGCUCAACCUCAGGCCUGCAUUCGAUACGGGCAAACUAGAGUUUGGUAGGGGAGACUGGAAUUCCUGGUGUAGCGGUGGAAUGCGCAGAUAUCAGGAGGAACACCAAUGGCGAAGGCAGGUCUCUGGGCCAAUACUGACACUGAGGAGCGAAAGUCUGGGGAGCGAACAGGAUUAGAUACCCUGGUAGUCCAGACCGUAAACGGUGGGCACUAGCUGUGGGAACCUUCCACGGUUUCUGCGACGCAGCUAACGCAUUAAGUGCCCCGCCUGGGGAGUACGG